CUUUAGAGCUGACCUAUCCCCUCCGUGUUAGUUCCCGGUGUCCCUCUGCAAGAGGUAGGAGGGGGCAGAGGCAGGCACUCAGGAGCCUCCUCAACACUCUACCUCCCACUAGCCACCCUGCUCAACGGCUGACAUGACCAGCACUCAGCUCUUCUACAGUAGAUAUGAGGACAACAGCGGCAUCCUGAGCUGACAAAGACACACUUCAUUGAAGGAACAAGAGGCUGGCCCUCUGAUCAGCAGCACUUCCUUAAUAAGAUGCACCUCCCCAGGAUCAUGAAGAGAACCCAGUCACCCCACAGAGAGACCGUUUCCCCUGUCCUCUCAUACUACUCAGAGCCAGCCUACCUGCAGCACCGUAAGGAUGUGACUAGAGAUCUGGCCCCGCUGCCUGGUGCAACGAGAAGAGGAGCCCUGGAUGAGGAAGAACAGGAAGAGACGCUGAGCCUACGGAGCAUGCCCAGUAUGAGAAGCACCCUGAGUCACGCCUCAAAGGUGAAAAGGUCACGGGGCUUCCCGAAGAGACACACCGUCCCCGAGCUCAGACUGCCCCCUGUUACUAAGAUUCAUCCUGACCCCAGAGCCAGUCUGGAAUUGAGGGGUACUGGCUACCUGAGAUGUUCCAGACUUCCACCCAUCAUCAAAUCUACCAGAACCCACGAGCCUCUGCACCAGGAAAGACCCGCAGGUCCAGCUGGGUACAGGCCUGAGAAGAAGGGAGAUGUUCCCCCUGGAUUUCCAGAGAAGAAGACUGUUGGUCUGAAGAAGCAGGGAGAUGUUCCCUCUGGACUUCCUGAGAAGAAGACUGUUGGUCUGAAGAAGCAGGGAGAUGUUCCCUCUGGACUUCCUGAGAAGAAGGGAGAUAUUCCCCCUGGACUUCCUGAGAAGAAGGGAGAUGUUCCCCCUGGACUUCCUGAGAAGAAGGGAGAUGUUCCCUCUGGACUUCCUGAGAAGAAGAGUGUUGGUCUGAAGAAGCAGGGAGAUGUUCCCCCUGGACUGCCAGAGAAGAAGACUGUUGGUCUGAAGAAGAGUUUUAAUAAUGAGGACCUCCUCAAAGCACCUGUUGUGACCAUGUCCAAGAUCAUUUCUGAUCCACCUCCAACUAAGACCCAACGCAUCACGUUCCACAGCCCCGCGCCGCAGGCCGUGUACCCGAUAACCCUUGACAACGAAACGCAAACCAGGAAGCCAGAGGAAGAUAGAAAACCCCCGUAUCCCAGAGUCCUCUCUUCUACAGCCACCUGCGCUAUAUCUAACACCAUCGGUCCUGAGAAAGUAUACAGAUUCCAGCCACACCUUCUGAGAGAUAACACCCCUCCAUACUCUGAGUGGACCGAUCCAAAGGCUUUAACCCAAGGAAGGACUGAGUGGACUGAACCAAGGGCUCCAACCCAGGGGAGGGGAGCGAUGCUGUUGAUCAGACUGAGCAUCACAUGGUCCAAGGCUGAGAACAGCAGCAACCUGAGACAGCCACAGUCCCAGUCUCAGCUCCAGCGUUGCCCCAUCCGUCCCCUGAAACCAGCCCUGAGAAGACUACCCAUCUCCAACACAAGGAGGCUGAGGGACUGGGGGAGACUGGGGACGACGUUGGGGUGUCUGUGGGAGGAGGAGGAGGAGGGGUGUGUCCCAGUCCAGCCUGGGUUACUGGAACCCUUUACAGGGUUUAAAGAGCACCUCUGUCGCCAGCUUCUCCACCCCCCCCCCCUAGCUCAGCUCCCGGAGAAGGCCUCAGAGGGAGACCAUAUAGACACACAGGCAGACAGACAGGCAGACAGAACAGUAGACAGACAGUAUAGACAGACAGGUAGACAGACAGUAUAGACAGACCGGUAGACAGACAGGUAGACAGACCGGCAGACAGACCGGCAGACAGACCGGCAGACAGACCGGCAGACAGACCGGCAGACAGACCGGCAGACAGACAGACCGGUAAACAGACAGGUAGACAGACCGUAUAGACAGACCAGGUAGACAGACAGUAUAGACAGACAGGUAGACAGACAGUAUAGACAGACAGUAUAGACAGACAGUAUAGACAGACCGGUAGACAGACAGUAUAGACAGACAGGUAGACAGACCGGUAAUGUCCCAGGCUCCACAGGGGAAUACCCUCCAGACCCCCUGCAGUACUCUGCCAGCCCAUACCGUGCAGCUGUCUGGAUCUCAGGGUCCAGGAGGGGCUCUACCCAGAAUCCCCAUGACCAGACCAACUCCUUCCCCCAAGCUCCCCCUCCUUCACUCACACAGUAAGAACAGGCAUGCAGCAUACAGCAUAGAUAGAUGGUCUGUUUUACAUGGAGCUGUCACUCGACAGGCCUGUUCUACCACGGAACCGUCAAUCUACAGGCCUGUUCUACCAUGGAACCGUCACUCUGCAGGCCUGUUCUACCACGGAACCGUCACUCUUACAGGCCUGUUCUACCACGGAACCGUCACUCGACAGGCCUGUUCUACCACGGAACCGUCAAUCUACAGGCCUGUUCUACCACGGAACCGUCACUCUGCAGGCCUGUUCUACCACGGAACCGUCACUCUUACAGGCCUGUUCUACCACGGAACCGUCACUCGACAGGCCUGUUCUACCACGGAACCGUCACUCUACAGGCCGGUUCUAACUCGAAACUGUCACUCUACAGGCCUGUUCUACCAAGGAACCGUCAAUCUUUAGAGGCGCCGAGACACAGCCCUGGGGGACUCUGCCUUCAGCACUGCUAAUAAGGAGGAUAAUUGUUUUAGCUAUACAGAGGAUUGCUACGGCCUGGUCUGCUGAGACGAGCACCAUCCCAAAACACACAGUAUGGUCAGUCCAGACACCACAGAGACGAGGCCUCCUAAAUGGUACACUAUCCUUAUACAGGGCCCAUAGGGCUCUGGUCAGAAGUAAUGCAACUCUAUACGAAAUAGGGACUCGGCCAUGGCCUGAACGAUAGUCAUUGACGUUGGUUGUAGUGGUGUGAGAGAGAGUUGUUUGUUAGCUGUGACAAGACUAUAAAGUCUGUAAAAAUCUCUGUCCUGUGUAGUUAGCUACUACAUUCUGUUCUCUAUGUCCUGUGUAGUUAGCUGCUACAUUCUCUAUGUCCUGUGUAGUUAGCUGCUACAUUCUCUAUGUCCUGUGUAGUUAGCUGCUACAUUCUGUUCUCUAUGUCUUGUGUAGUUAGCUGCUACAUUCUGUUCUCUAUGUCCUGUGUAGUUAGCUGCUACAUUCUGUUCUCUAUGUCUUGUGUAGUUAGCUGAUACAUUCUCUAUGUCCUGUGUAGUUAGCUGAUACAUUCUGUUCUCUAUGUCCUGUGUAGUUAGCUGAUACAUUCUGCUCUCUCUCUGACAAGUUGGCUUGUGAAGAUCACUCUGUCAAUGCAUGUUUUUUUUGUAGUUUUCUCGACAAAUCCUCUAUUUUGGAGAGCACCAUCUUAUUCUGUAUACUGAUUAUAAUAUUACCAUUGUAAUAUGUACCCCCCCCCUCCUUACAUUUCCAUGUGUUGAAUUGCGACAACGGUUUCUUAACCAGCAUUCACUAAAAUGUUUCUUUACAUGACGAUUUUCUCUAUUGAAGAAAUAAACAUUCGCUUCAAUGGGCUAAAAUGGACAUAUGUUGGCAAGA